rnacentral:tRNA from 1 species
GCAGACGUAGCUCAGUCGGCAGAGCACCGCGCCGGGAGGUAUGUCGUUGGUUCGAGUCCAACCGUCUGCACCA